AGCUUUGCUCAGUGGCAGUAUCGUAGCCAAUGAGGUUUAUCUGAGGCGCGAUUAUUGCUAAUUGAAAGAUGGGGAAAGUUUCUUUCUUCUACUUAUUAACCUAAUAGCUAAAACAACCAGAAAAUUCUGCAAGUUAGUGUUUUAA
ensembl:snRNA U4 U4 spliceosomal RNA